GAUGAAGAACGUAGCGAAAUGCGAUAAGUAAUGUGAAUUGCAGAAUUCAGUGAAUCAUCGAAUCUUUGAACGCACAUUGCGCCCCUUGGUAUUCCGGGGGGCAUGCCUGUUCGAGCGUCAUUACAACAAUCAAGCGCUGCUUGGCGAUGGGCGUCUCGCCCCCCUCUCGAGGGGUUGGCGUGCCCGAAAGAUAUUGGCUGGUGCUACCUGACGAGCAACGGAUUGACUUACAAAAUCGUUGAACUCCGGGGAGGUGCGCCUAAGCUAGACAAGCUCAAUUUCUAUCAAGUUUGACCUCGGAUCAGGUAGGGAUACCCGCUGAACUUAAGCAUAUCAAUAAGCGGAGGA
rnacentral:misc_RNA from 1 species